ACACCUUCAAGCGCAGCUUGGUGUUGGGCGUCUGUCCCCUGGGACUCGCCUCAAAAGGAUUGGCGGCCACUUCAGCGGCUUAGAGCGCAGCAGAAUUGCGUCCUCUAGCGGCGGGAGGCGGCAUCCAGAAGCUUUCUUAUUAUU
rnacentral:misc_RNA from 1 species